rnacentral:rRNA from 1 species
AAUCUUCCACAAUGGACGAAAGCCUGAUGGAGCAACGCCGCGUGAGCGAAGAAGGUUUUCGGAUCGUAAAGCUCUGUUGCGAGGGAGGAACAAGAACGGGAGUAUCUGCCUGUACCUUGACGUUACCUCCUCAGAAAGCCACGGCUAACUUCGUGCCAGCAGCCGCGGUAAUACGUAGGUGGCAAGCGUUGUCCGGAAUUAUUGGGCGUAAAGCGCGCGCAGGCGGGCCUUUAAGGCUGAUGUGAAAGCCCACGGCUCAAACGUGGAGGGUCAUUGGAAACUGGAGGACUUGAGUACAGAAGAGGAAAGCGGAAUUCCACGUGUAGCGGUGAAAUGCGUAGAGAUGUGGAGGAACACCAGUGGCGAAGGCGGCUUUCUGGUCUGUAACUGACGCUGAGGCGCGAAAGCGUGGGGAGCAAACA